AUUGAACGCUGGCGGCAUGCUUUACACAUGCAAGUCGAACGGUAACAGGCCGCAAGGUGCUGACGAGUGGCGAACGGGUGAGUAAUGCAUCGGAACGUGCCCAGUCGUGGGGGAUAACUACUCGAAAGAGUAGCUAAUACCGCAUACGAUCUAUGGAUGAAAGCGGGGGACCGUAAGGCCUCGCGCGAUUGGAGCGGCCGAUGUCAGAUUAGGUAGUUGGGGGGGUAAAGGCUCACCAAGCCAACGAUCUGUAGCUGGUCUGAGAGGACGACCAGCCACACUGGGACUGAGACACGGCCCAGACUCCUACGGGAGGCAGCAGUGGGGAAUUUUGGACAAUGGGCGCAAGCCUGAUCCAGCAAUGCCGCGUGCAGGAAGAAGGCCUUCGGGUUGUAAACUGCUUUUGUACGGAACGAAACGGCUCUGGUUAAUACCCGGGGCUAAUGACGGUACCGUAAGAAUAAGCACCGGCUAACUACGUG
rnacentral:rRNA from 1 species